GACGAACGCUGGCGGCGUGCUUAACACAUGCAAGUCGAACGGAAAGGCCCUGCUUUUGUGGGGUGCUCGAGUGGCGAACGGGUGAGUAACACGUGAGUAACCUGCCCUUGACUUUGGGAUAACUUCAGGAAACUGGGGCUAAUACCGGAUAGGAGCUCCUGCUGCAUGGUGGGGGUUGGAAAGUUUCGGCGGUUGGGGAUGGACUCGCGGCUUAUCAGCUUGUUGGUGGGGUAGUGGCUUACCAAGGCUUUGACGGGUAGCCGGCCUGAGAGGGUGACCGGCCACAUUGGGACUGAGAUACGGCCCAGACUCCUACGGGAGGCAGCAGUGGGGGAUAUUGCACAAUGGGCGGAAGCCUGAUGCAGCAACGCCGCGUGCGGGAUGACGGCCUUCGGGUUGUAAACCGCUUUCGCCUGUGACGAAGCGUGAGUGACGGUAAUGGGUAAAGAAGCACCGGCUAACUACGUGCCAGCAGCCGCGGUGAUACGUAGGGUGCGAGCGUUGUCCGGAUUUAUUGGGCGUAAAGGGCUCGUAGGUGGUUGAUCGCGUCGGAAGUGUAAUCUUGGGGCUUAACCCUGAGCGUGCUUUCGAUACGGGUUGACUUGAGGAAGGUAGGGGAGAAUGGAAUUCCUGGUGGAGCGGUGGAAUGCGCAGAUAUCAGGAGGAACACCAGUGGCGAAGGCGGUUCUCUGGGCCUUUCCUGACGCUGAGGAGCGAAAGCGUGGGGAGCGAACAGGCUUAGAUACCCCGGUAGUCCACGCUGUAAACGGUGGGUACUAGGUGUGGGGUCCAUUCCACGGGUUCCGUGCCGUAGCUAACGCUUUAAGUACCCCGCCUGGGGAGUACGGCCGCAAGGCUAAAACUCAAAGGAAUUGACGGGGCCCCGCACAAGCGGCGGAGCAUGCGGAUUAAUUCGAUGCAACGCGUAGAACCUUACCUGGGUUUGACAUGGAUCGGGAGUGCUCAGAGAUGGGUGUGCCUCUUUUGGGGUCGGUUCACAGGUGGUGCAUGCCUGUCGUCAGCUCGUGUCGUGAGAUGUUGGGUUAAGUCCCGCAACGAGCGCAACCCUUGUUCACUGUUGCCAGCACGUUAUGGUGGGGACUCAGUGGAGACCGCCGGGGUCAACUCGGAGGAAGGUGGGGAUGACGUCAAGUCAUCAUGCCCCUUAUGUCCAGGGCUUCACGCAUGCUACAAUGGCUGGUACAGAGAGUGGCGAGCCUGUGAGGGUGAGCGAAUCUCGGAAAGCCGGUCUCAGUUCGGAUUGGGGUCUGCAACUCGACCUCAUGAAGUCGGAGUCGCUAGUAAUCGCAGAUCAGCAACGCUGCGGUGAAUAAGGUCCCGGG
rnacentral:rRNA from 1 species